rnacentral:rRNA from 1 species
GCAGGUCAGCAUACUGCCGUGAAUACGUUCCCGGGCCCUUGUACACACCGCCCGUCACACCAUGAGAGUUGGGGAUACCCGAAGCCUGUGAGCCAACUUUUAAGAGGCAGCAGUCGAAGGUAGAAUCAAUGAUUGGGGUGAAGUCGUAACAAGGUAGC